rnacentral:misc_RNA from 1 species
UUCGCUAACUUGGGUUUGAAUCUCUGCUAAGUUGGGUUCGAGUCUUCGCUAAAGAGUUUUGACAACAUUUUGCAAAACUUUUAUUUAAAGGAGAUGCUGGAGUCUGUUUUACUGACAAAAAGACAUUUUGUAAAAAUAAUUUUUGUUUCGCAAUAUUUUUUUAUUUCUUUUAGAUUUGGAAAUUGGCCUUCGAUCAUCAGAAUAAAAGAAUACGUAUUGCUACCAGUCUGUGGAGUUUCUACCAAAAACAAAAAAAUUGUUAAUUUGCUGUCACAUCAUAACAAUAAUUGUUAGAUGACCGCUUAGGAACACUGUGUGAUGAGUUAUAAGUAUAUAAAAAAUAACACUGACUGAUAAUUCAUAUUUCAAAAAUUGUGAUUUCGAUAAAUUACAUUCGCGUCUGAUCGACAGUGAUGCCAAUAAUGUCUCUCAAUUUGAAAUCUUUUUAAGCCAGCAUGCUGCUGGUACUCGCUCUUCAAUCCGCAUAGGUCUGCUCACUCUGCUUCCUUGUAUCUAUCGCGGUCGGCGACGAAGUGCACGUGUAGAGAAAUGGCAGAUUAUAGCGAAAAAUGCGAUGACUGUUCGUUUGAUUAUAGUGAAGAAAGGCAAAAAGGCGUUUGCCUGAUAAAAGAAGAAUUUAUUAUCGAGGACCAUAUGAGACAAUUGAGCGAACAGUGCUUGACAAAAAUCAAUAAGCAAAAGAUGUCUGAUAUGGAUACAGGCGCGGAAGAUAUGGAUAGGGAUGAAGUACCCAUCAAGAAGCCCAAAUUGGACGACAAGAGAGAAAAGCUCAGAGGUCAAAACAAGGCCAGACCGCCUCCGUUUAAAGCUUCCCGAGAAUUCAGUUUAUGUCCAUGGAUCGCAGAUCAAACGGCAGAUGAAUCUGAGCGAAAAUGCUCGAAUCAGCGCUGUACCUUCCUACAUGAUCGAAAGGAGUAUCUGAAGAUUAGGCCGGCGGAUGUAGGUACAGAGUGCUAUGUUUUUAGUUUGACUGGCAGGUGUCCAAGAGGAAUCACUUGCAGAAUGGGCUUACAACACUUGACUGAGGAUGGUUUUAACAUUAUCGAUGAGAAAAAAUUCAAGGAAUACAGUAAGUCCCCACCGGCUGUAAAAAAUAACUUAUCCAAGGAUCUGCAAAACAAAUUGCGCAAACGAAAAUACAAUUUUUCUAAGGCGGAGGCUAUUGUCAAAGCUAAUGGUCCAGCUAGGAAAGAAACACAACUGCAGAAUUCAAAUAUAAAAACAGAAAAUGAAGCGGAAAACACUAAUACAAAGCCAGACAUUAAGGCUGAUAUUUCUGACAAUAGCAACGGCGAGAAAGUAGACAGAAGCAUUUCUAGCGAUAUAAAAGACGAGAAAGCGCAAUUGAAUGUUCCUGAUUGCGAUAUUUUGCACAAGUCAAAGGAACCGAGACUCGGACCUGUGGACGAUAGCGAUUUAAUCAAAUUGCGACAGUCGGAGAAGAAGACGAUUGACUGGAGAGGCAAGAUACUACUCAGUCCUUUGACCACCGUGGGCAAUCUGCCGUUUCGAAGGAUCUGCAAGGAGUAUGGCGCGGACAUCACCUGCGGCGAAAUGGCAUUGGCACCGAAGAUACUAAAGGGCGCGCAGGAGGAGUGGGCAUUAGUGAAGCGACACGAGAGCGAGGAUAUCUUUGGCGUACAGCUCUGCGGCAAUAAUCCAGGUGUGCUGACGCGAUGCGCUCAGCUGCUGAAUCACGAGAUUAAUGUGGACUACAUUGAUUUGAAUCUUGGCUGCCCGAUCGAUCUGAUUUACAGGCAAGGCGGCGGCAGCGGUAUGCUCAAUCGACUGAACGUACUCGAGACCGUGGUAAAGUCCGUUAGCCAAGUGCUGGACAUACCGUUGUCCGUUAAAACCAGAACUGGCGUCUACAUAGACAAGCCGAUCGCGCAUAAUCUAAUGCCGAGAUUUCGAAACUGGGGGGUGUCUAUGAUUACUGUUCAUGGCAGAUCGCGUGAGCAGAGAUACACGAAGCUGGCCGAUUGGGAGUAUAUAGAAAAAUGUGCGGUGGCAGCGCAGCCGAUACCCGUGUUCGGAAAUGGCGAUAUUUUGUCCUUCGAUGACUAUCGUCACGCGAAGGAAACCUAUGGUACGGUGCAAGGCAUUACCAUCGGACGCGGCGCGUUAAUCAAGCCGUGGAUUUUUACUGAAAUAAAGGAGAGAAAAUUAAUCGACAUAUCGAGCACAGAGAGAUUUGAUAUUCUCAGGAAGUACGCGAAUUACGGGCUCGAGCAUUGGGGAUCCGAUACCCGUGGCAUCGAAACUACGAGAAGAUUCAUGCUGGAAUGGAUCUCCUUCCUUCACAGAUACAUUCCCGUUGGAAUUUUGGAGAGACCACCGCAGCGGAUUAACGAGAGACCAGCGUUUUACAGAGGUCGCGAUGAUAUGGAGACGUUGAUGGCCAGUUCCAAUUGUGCCGAUUGGGUGAAAUUAUCAGAGAUGUUGCUCGGAAAAGUGCCUGAUGGAUUUCAUUUCUUGCCAAAGCACAAAGCGAAUUCGUGGAAAUAGUUACUGUGGGAGAUAAACAUUUUUGUAGAGAAACGUUUCUCGAGACAAUGAAUUCUAUUAUAAGUUGUUGAUUUUUCACAACAAAUGAAACGUAAAAGAGAAGGAUUGUUCAUGGAUUAGGACAUUUUACUAACGGGCAUUAAAUCUCUGUUAUCUCUGUUUAGCUGUCGCAGUUUCUUUGCCGCGUUUUCCGCAUUAUAAU